rnacentral:rRNA from 1 species
AGUGAACGCUGGCGGUAGGCCUAACACAUGCAAGUCGAACGGCAGCACAGUAAGAGCUUGCUCUUACGGGUGGCGAGUGGCGGACGGGUGAGGAAUACAUCGGAAUCUACUUUUUCGUGGGGGAUAACGUAGGGAAACUUACGCUAAUACCGCAUACGACCUACGGGUGAAAGCAGGGGAUCUUCGGACCUUGCGCGAUUGAAUGAGCCGAUGUCGGAUUAGCUAGUUGGCGGGGUAAAGGCCCACCAAGGCGACGAUCCGUAGCUGGUCUGAGAGGAUGACACGCCACACUGGAACGGAGAAACGGUCCAGACUCCCACGGGAGGGAGCAGUGGGGAAUUUUGGAAAAUGGGCGAAAGCCUGAUCCAGCCAUACCGGGUGGGUGAAGAAGGCCUUCGGGUUUUAAAGCCCUUUUGUUGGGAAAAAAAAGCAGCAGGUUAAUACCCCGCUGUUUUGACGGUACCCAAAGAAUAAGCACCGGCUAACUUCGU